GAUGAAGAACGCAGCGAAAUGCGAUAAGUAGUGUGAAUUGCAGAAUUCAGUGAAUCAUCGAAUCUUUGAACGCACAUUGCGCCCCUUGGUAUUCCAUGGGGCAUGCCUGUUCGAGCGUCAUUUACACCCUCAAGCUCCGCUUGGUGUUGGGCGUCUGUCCCGCUUCGUGCGCGGACUCGCCCCAAAGGCAUUGGCAGCGGUCCUUGCCAGCUUCUCGCGCAGCACAUUGCGCUUCUCGAGGCUGGUGGAUCGGCGUCCAUCAAGCCCACUUCCACAGUUUGACCUCGGAUCAGGUAGGGAUACCCGCUGAACUUAAGCAUAUCAAUAAGCGGAGGA
rnacentral:misc_RNA from 1 species